UGAGGAAUAUUGCCUCAAUGGUCGCAAGACUGAACCAGCCAUGCCGCGUGCAGGAAGAAGGUCCUCUGGAUUGUAAACUUCUUUUAUCUGGGACGAAAAAGGGUCUUUCUAGAUCAACUGACGGUACCAGAUGAAUAAGCACCGGCUAACUCCGUGC
rnacentral:rRNA from 1 species